GUAGCUGCCAGCCUACGCCAGAGCCACAGCAACAUGGGAUCCAAGCCGCAUCUGUGACCUACACCACAGCUCCCGGCAACGCCGGAUCUUUAAUCCACUGAGCAAGGCCAGGGAUGGAACCCGAAACCUCAUGGUUCCUAGUCAGAUUCGUUUAACCACUGCACGACGAUGGGAACUCCACAUCGUCCCAAUUUUUGUUGGAGUUGACUUCCCAGUCUUAGAGCGUGAGGUCCUUCAUGAAGCUGAGUCAGCCAAUGGUCCCACCAAUGCCUAUUCAAGCAAUGCACCACCUGAGCCUCAUUAAAAAUUGAUCAGUGACCUCCUCAGAGGUGACCAAAGCUCAUCCUGGGAGUGAUCUGGAGAAGGUCCUUCUUUUCAUGAAACAUGAAGCCUCAGACUCCACAGGAGAAAACAGAUGCUGAAAUGGAGUUGACGCAGAAGGACACAGAGCCAGAAACAGCCACUUUGCUGUACGCUUGAAACUAAUACAACAUCAUAAGUCAACUACACUCCAAAAACAAAACAAAACAACCCCCCCCUAAAAAAAAAACAAACAAACCCAGUAGAGAGAAUCCAGAAGGAAGAUGCCAUAAAGCCAAGACCCCACCCUUUCCAGCUUAAGCCAGUGAGCUGGGUUUCUGUGGUUGAGUCUGGAAUCCCACCCCUUGUGCUCAUAGCAGCCCAGCCAUGUGACCCAGCUCACCUGAUUCCAGCCCUGGAGGGUUUGCCCUGGCUCAGAGCCACCUUCAGGGGACCAGCCUCCCACCGUCUGAGUGUGACCAGAAAGCAUGAGGGGCCACUUCAUUGCAAUGUCCCCGCUUCCUCUGCCCCCAGAACUUCAUGUUCAGCCCACCAACUGCAUUUCUACCUGUUUAACGGGUCUCCCUACCAUCUUUCCCGGGAUAAAAACAGAGUUAAACUCCCUCCCCUCUCCUCCCUCUCACCCUCACUCACCCAAAGCAAGAAGGCAGAUGUCUACAAGCCAGGAAGCAGACCCUUACCAAGACUCUGAACAGGCUUCCAGCCUCCAAACUGUGAGAAAACAAGUUUGCAUUUAAGCUCCACCAUCUGUGGUAUUUUACUCUGGCAGCCCCAGCAAACUAAGACAACUGGAUUCCCGAGCUGUCACUACACCCAAGACAGCCCCUCCUCAGAACUUGCACGUGAGGAGCCUGCUGAAGAGGCUUUUAGCCUUGGAAGAGGUGAACGAGUGGGGAGGAAUCAGCAAAAGAGGAUGCAGAACUUUCAAAGGGAAGAGGGCAAAACAGUGACCCAGCUGACAGGGACGGGAAUGCUGGGCUGAAAGCUGGUGAACAGAAGGAGGUUAGAGCCACUCUUCAUAUGAUCAAAGAUCCUCAGGUUUUAAGGAGGAAAAUAUGUAAGGUGAGUGAAUAAUAAAACAACCAAUUUAGUGAUUGAAAAAAAAAA
rnacentral:lncRNA from 1 species